rnacentral:pre_miRNA from 1 species
AUGCAGGGCAACUUAUCUUUAAAUAGGGAUAAAUGACUCUAAAAGAAAUGAGUCCUAGGUAGUUUUUCUUCAAGUCAAGCAUCUUGU